GAUGAACGCUGGCGGCGUGCUUAACACAUGCAAGUCGAACGAAGCACUUUAUUUGAUUUCCUUCGGGGCUGAUUAUUUUGUGACUGAGUGGCGGACGGGUGAGUAACGCGUGGGUAACCUGCCUUGUACAGGGGGAUAACAGUUGGAAACGGCUGCUAAUACCGCAUAAGCGCACAGCAUCGCAUGAUGCAGUGUGAAAAACUCCGGUGGUAUAAGAUGGACCCGCGUUGGAUUAGCUAGUUGGUGAGGUAACGGCCCACCAAGGCGACGAUCCAUAGCCGACCUGAGAGGGUGACCGGCCACAUUGGGACUGAGACACGGCCCAAACUCCUACGGGAGGCAGCAGUGGGGAAUAUUGCACAAUGGGCGAAAGCCUGAUGCAGCGACGCCGCGUGAGCGAAGAAGUAUUUCGGUAUGUAAAGCUCUAUCAGCAGGGAAGAUAAUGACGGUACCUGACUAAGAAGCACCGGCUAAAUACGUG
rnacentral:rRNA from 1 species